CAUGCAAGUCGAACGGUAACAGGGUAGCAAUACCGCUGACGAGUGGCGCACGGGUGCGUAACGCGUAUGCAACUUACCUUAAACUGGGAGAUAGCCCCUCGAAAGAGGGAUUAAUACCCCAUAGUAAUUAGAUGAGGCAUCUCAUUUAGUUUAAAGCUCCGGCGGUUUAAGAUAGGCAUGCGUGACAUUAGCUAGUUGGUGAGGUAAUGGCUCACCAAGGCUACGAUGUCUAGGGGUUCUGAGAGGAUGAUCCCCCACACUGGUACUGAGACACGGACCAGACUCCUACGGGAGGCAGCAGUAAGGAAUAUUGGUCAAUGGGCGCAAGCCUGAACCAGCCAUGCCGCGUGAAGGAUGACGGCCCUAUGGGUUGUAAACUUCUUUUGUAUGGGAAUAAACCCAGGUACGUGUACCUGGCUGAAUGUACCGUAAGAAUAAGGAUCGGCUAACUCCGUGCCAGCAGCCGCGGUAAUACGGAGGAUCCAAGCGUUAUCCGGAUUCAUUGGGUUUAAAGGGUGCGUAGGCGGACUUAUAAGUCAGUGGUGAAAUCCUGCAGCUUAACUGCAGAACUGCCAUUGAUACUGUAAGUCUUGAGUGUGUUUGAAGUGGGCGGAAUGUGUCAUGUAGCGGUGAAAUGCUUAGAUAUGACACAGAACACCGAUUGCGUAGGCAGCUCACUAAACCACAACUGACGCUGAGGCACGACAGCGUGGGGAUCAAACAGGAUUAGAUACCCUGGUAGUCCACGCCGUAACUAUGAUUACUCGAUGUUGGCGAUAUACAGUCAGCGUCUAAGCUAAAGCGUUAAGUAAUCCACCUGGGGAGUACGGUCGCAGAUUGAAACUCAA
rnacentral:rRNA from 1 species